UUUUUUUCUUACAAGCCUUUCAAAACAAACAAGCAAAAACGUAUAGAAUUUGUUCAAGAAAAUUUAGUUACAUUUUUUGAAUGAAAUCUACUUUGGUUUUAUUUUACUAGAUGCAGAAUGAUUCCCUCGAGAUUCACAAGAAGCACACGCGUGUCCCGAUACUCUUGGCGCUUCACGACACGUACGCCUUAUGAGCAGUGGUCGACCAUUACCAGAUCAAUCUAACAGUCGAGUUCACAAUAUUGUAUUGGUAACACUGUUUCUCCAUCGUCCGAUUCAAAAUUGAUUCUUCUGGGCCUCUUUUAACGAAUCUGCUCAGUCAAGUCUCGCCCUAAUUCUACUGUUCUUUUCUUCAUAUCUUGUCAACAUGGAGGGAGGAUUUUUCUGUGUAUGUGCGUAUCAACAUUCAACAAUUUUUUUGAGGUUUUUGGUAAAAUUCAACAAAAUAUUUUGACAAAACCAUAGGCAACGGUGCGGUCUAAUUAUAAACUUUUCAGCUCUGAUAUAAUCAUCUUAUGAAGAAAGUCUUAUCAAUAAUAGAUCAAAUCACAGGUGAACACAUCACAUGAGUAUAUAUUUAUAUACUAAACCCACGCUUUUGGCGGAGUAAUAUCUACUUAAACAAGGUAUUAAUUAAUCAAUUAUGAAACGUUACAGAUUCUGAAAAACACCAACAUAGGCUCGUCGAAUGAGUUAAAACGUCUGAUAUCUUUAAUAAAGAACUUAAUAAGAGUAAACUUCUAAACUAAAAUAAUAUGUUUGUUACGGUUUUAAUCCCAUCAAGUAUAAUCACAUGUCUCCGUGCGAUAGUUUGUAGACAUAUAUAUCUCUUUAAACGUUAGUCAUAAUUAUAGUUUGUAGUAAUCGUCCAGUUUGUCACAUCCUCACAUGGCAUAGUUCAGAAAGGGAACAACAUUUGUGGCGCACCAUGCCACUAAUUAUGGAUAUAAUAUAUAAAUAUAGUAGUCUAAAUAAUUAGCAACUUGAUCAAUAUACGUUAUUCAAUAAAUAACUCUAAAAACAGGCUUGCUCUACAAGUUUUAUGGAAUCGGAUCAUUAGGUUCAUUGUUCACAACAAGAGAUUUAGAAACUGCCACGCGACAACAAUGUCUCCUAAGUCGAAACACAUCGGUUAUCGUAUUAGAUUAUCUCCCUACGAAAAGAAUGGAUUGUUUAUCAUAACAUGAAAACGACUAGUGCUCAUUACAUUAUAUUUUAUUGGUUUGGUUAAUCCCACACCUAACAUUAGUUGUUUAAGUACUACUAUUAAUUAUGUAUCAGUAGGAGUCAGAACGGCAGCCUAAGAUACUUAUUUUGUCGUUGAUGAAUCAAGUUCUUAUAAACUAGUUUAUAUUAGUAAUUAGCUCGACCAUCUACUUUCUUGUUUAUUAAUCAUGAAUGAUGGUUGAUAGCGUAUUCACAGCAGCACCUUGCACAUUUCUUGUCGAGAGGAAUAUUUUAUUAUGGGCUUGAAAACACUCGGAGAAUUGAAAGGUUGGGCUAUUGGUAAUAUUUUUACUAUCUAUUUUGGGGCACUGAACUUGUGUAUGUCAGAUCAACUUCAUAGACGGAGCUCUCCAUAUCGCAAAAUCUUACAUUAACAACAUAAUUGCUAAAAUCACUAAUACCUUUAAAAAUGAUUAUAUUUAUUAAAAUAGAUAACUGAUUAUAAAUUAAAUGUUAAAACGGUAAAAAUGUUGAAGUUUUAUACCUAAAAUCAUUGAAACCUUUAAUGAAUAAUUAAAUUUAUUUACUAAAUUAGAUAAUUAAUCAUAAAUGUAAAAUCAAAUGUAUUUAUAAUUUUUCAAAUGAAUUUCUAUAUUAUGUUGAUAUCCGGAACAAAUAUUUUUCAUUUAUAACUUUCUAAAAAUUAGAAAUUCAAAAGACGCAUAAAACACCAACUAAAAAACUUAGCUUAUUCCUAUAGCUAGAUCACUAGCAGAGAUAAACAUUAACUAUACUAUGUGUAUGUUUCAGUUUUAUAACGCAAUAACAAAAAUAUAUAUUUUGAUAUUUUUAAUGCCAAAUGUAAAUUAUAUGAUGCUUAUUUUUUAAAACAUAAAACUAAUGUACUCUCCUGAUUUUCGAAUUGAUAAUGCUAUUCAUAAGAUGAUUAUUAUGUACGCAUGCGCAAACAAAAAACUUAAGUGAUUUUUGUUAUGAUUUGAUAUAUUUAUACUAUGUGAAUGUUUCAUUUUUAACACAAUAUCAAUCAUGUAUAUUUUGUUAAUAAACUUUGUAAGAAUAUAAACUAUUUGAUGUUCAAUUUAACUUUUUAAGAGAAUAUAUAACAAUGUAUCAUGCUAGUUUUUAAGUUAAUAAUGUAUGACAUAAGAUGAGUAUACCUAGUUAAAUAUUUAACCUUAAGAAAAAAAUUCGAUUUGCAGGUUCCUAGUUGUAACACGUUAGUUUUUAUAUUUUUUUAGGGUGAUUGGUUAGAUUAUAUAAUUGUAUUUAGCUUUUAUUUUUGUCUACAGUCAUAAAUCAGGAAUCAUGUUUUAUUUUAUUCUUAAAGAUAAUGUUUGCUCACCAGCCAAGCCUUCCAUAUAAAGAAAAUAACCAAAAAUAAAGAAAUAAUUGUAAAAGACUUAUUUUCUAAAACAUUAUUUACUAAGAUGUAGAAAAAUCUUUGAUGUAUGGUUUUUUUUCUUUUCUUUCUCAUUUAAUUUUUACAUCUACAUUAAAUAUAGCUAAAUAAAAAUUGCAGACUAAAUUCUAGAAUAAUAUUUCUACAUUUACAAUUCAACCAAUCUUUGAUGUAUAUAUGUACAAAUACGUAUCCCUCAUAAAAGUUGUAUAAUUAAAAAAAAAGUUGUAUAAUUAAGAAACUGAAACAUCAUAAUAUUCAAAACAUGCAUACGUUUAAAUCAACAGAUGUGUGAAUAUUUUACCUGUUGACGAAGAAGAAUCUUGAAGCAUGCUGAUUUCGAACCGCCAUUGAUUACCAAUGAAGUCUUGCUAAGUUUUAUUAGAUAAAUAACAUAAGGGCGUGCAUGUGUUAUGAAUGAUGAUGAAAAUAUCUUCAACAAAAACU
rnacentral:lncRNA from 1 species